GAACGCACCUUGCACCCUUUGGCAUUCCGAAGGGUAUGCUCGUUUGAGUGUCAUUGUACUCUCACACUCCCAAUGCUUUUGGAUUGGGAGCGGUGGACUUGGGUGUUGCUGCUUUACGGUGGCUCGCCUCAAAUGGAGUAGUGCAACUCUCGGUUGGACAUAGUACGGCGUGAUAAGUGUCUUCGCCGGCGCCUCACUAGAGGGUGGCUGAUCGGGAGCUCUGUGCUUCAAACCGUCUUCGGACAAUCUUUGACAUCUUGACCUCAAAUCAGGUAGGACUACCCGCUGAACUUAAG
rnacentral:misc_RNA from 1 species